UACGGGGGGGCAAGCGUUGUUCGGAAUUACUGGGCGUAAAGGGCUCGUAGGCGGCCAACUAAGUCGGACGUGAAAUCCCUCGGCUUAACCGGGGAACUGCGUCCGAUACUGGAUGGCUUGAGUUCGGGAGAGGGAUGCGGAAUUCCAGGUGUAGCGGUGAAAUGCGUAGAUAUCUGGAGGAACACCGGUGGCGAAGGCGGCAUCCUGGACCGACACUGACGCUGAGGAGCGAAAAGCCAGGGGAGCAAACGGG
rnacentral:rRNA from 1 species